AUAUAUAUGGAUAAAAACAUUGAUAAAGAAGUAAAUGAACUGCAGAGUAUAUAGGAGUAUGCAGAAAGGAAAGAAACGAGUCGGCAAAACUGUGUGCAGACCUCUAUUUCUCAAUCAACUUACUAAUCCCAAGGCAAACCGAGGCAGGGACUCUUAAAUGUAGCUUGUUUUCUCGAUAGACAUCACGUACCAGGAUGAUAGUUCUACUAAUAACACACCACUACUAAGGUACUAGAAUGAUGACAAUUCACCACUACUAGAAAACCUAAUGCAGCAAACAUGAAAUUGCUUUUCGAUGGGAGUCCACGAAUCUCAACAACCACAAAGACGUCCCGCCAAAUGAAUGGUAGACUCCUGUUGAAUUUUGUAGUCGGCCAGGGUACGGUGGUCC
rnacentral:lncRNA from 1 species